ensembl:lncRNA
AGCACUUGCUGACUUAAUUAUCUAACAGAGGCAUAGUUUUGGACCUGACCAGAGCAUGUUUUGUGGCAUCCUACCAAACUGUCGAUUUUUCAUCUUCUUCUGUCAGAUCUGUGCACACAAACACAUAUUUUUGCCACCACCCUUCAUGAAGAAAGAACCCAAUGGGAGGAAACUGUCCACCUCCUCCCUGCUGCCAUCAGACACACAGUCAAGCAGGCAAACCAGAAGGUGAGGACUGAAAUAGAGUGAAGAGUCAAGAUGUGUACAAUCAGAGGACAUAUAUGAUAGUAGUGAUGUUGAUAAGACUGGUUAAAAAUUCUUCACCAAACAGCUUUCACAGUUUCUUACUAGAAAUCUGACUUUUUGACAGUGAAUAUUUUUGUGGGAUUCUCCAUAAAUAUUAAAAAUCAUUUUCUUUUUCUGUCCUCCAAAGAAAAGCUGAACAUUUGCACAGAAGUAAAUCAUAAUUAUCUUUAAUAAUGCUCUGAAACACAUGAGCCUUUGAAGAUUAUCGUAUCUGAACUGGAAUAUCAGUAAAAUAUUUUGGACUUUUUGUCUCCAUGCCUCCUGUCAUUUAUUUCAUUACAAAAAGGAUUGGACUCCAAACAUCAGUCUGAAGAGCUCCAUAUUUUCUUCUCCCUGCUACGUAUUGUUUUCCUUUGCUCAGGAUUACUGAUUUUCAGUAUCAUCUUACCCUAAGACAAAGAGACAUGGCCAACCUCUUUUCAGUGGUCUGUGGGGAAAGGACAAGGGUAAAUGGCAAUAAAUUGGUGCACCAGUAUGUAAAAGAACUUCAUUCACACUGAGAGUGACGGAGCACUAGAAAGGGCUGCCCAUAGAGGUUGUGUAAUCCUUUUGUGGAAAUAUGCAAGACCCGCCUGGAUGCCUACCUGUGCAACAUGCUAUAGGGAGACUGCUUUGGCAGGGGGGUUGGACUCAAUGAUCUCUAGAGGUCCCUUCCAACCCCUACAAUUCUGUGAUUCUGUGAUAUUCUUGAAAGUAGAGAUAAGCUAGUAUAUUUAGUUUUGAAUUUGUCAUCUUUUGUCUUUCUUGAUAACAUGGGACACGAUUUAGUGAUUGGACUUGGUUUGCUAGGUUGAUGAUUGGACUCUGUGAUCUUGAAGAUCUUUUCAAACUUAGAUGAUUCAAUGACUGUAGAGAUAAUAAUAGUCCAGGAAGUAUAUUUAGAAUUUUCCAUUCUGUGGCAGAAGCAGAUCUUCAGGGACAAUUUCCACAUAUAUUAUUCCACUCUCUUGUAAGAAAUCUUCAGUGAGAGAAAAUACUGUGUCCCUCUAAAAUGAAUGAAAACAAAGCUUUGUGAAAUUUUACUAUUUUUUUUUUUAAUUUAAGCAAGGAAAAUAGAUCUCAUAUUUUUAUUUUAGCUAAAAUGAGGAAAUGGGUACAAGCUACAUGAAAAGAAAUUCUAAUUAAAUAAUAGGAAAAUUUCCCACUGACGGUGCUCAACCAUUAGAAAAGGUUUUCCAGAGCAGCUGUGAAAAUUUCUAUUUUGGUGAAUACUCAAAACUCAUCUGGACAGGACUCCGAGCAAACCUUUGAAGUCGGAUCCAACUUUGAAGCUGGUCUUGCUUUGAAUAGGAAAAAAUGAGCAUGGGGCAGAUGACACAGAAAUAUAUUCCAAAAUGGACUUUUUGUGAUUCUAUCAUUUUGUUCAAUUUAUCUUUGAUGUGUCACUAAUUAAUUCCAUUUAAUACACAUAGGUACCAUUACAACAAUGUUUUUUGCCAUUUGCAGUAAAAAAUCCAAGUGCCUUCUU